rnacentral:tRNA from 1 species
CUCCGUGGCGCAACGGUAGCGCGCCCGACUCCAGAUCGGAGGGGUGCGUGUCCCAGUCACGUCGGGG